rnacentral:rRNA from 1 species
CCUACGGGUGGCAGCAGUAGGGAAUAUUGCUCAAUGGGGGAAACCCUGAAGCAGCAACGCCGCGUGGAGGAAGAAGUUUUUCGGUCUGUAAACCUCUCUCGUCAGAGAAGAUAAUGACGGUAGCUAAUUAAUAAGCCCCGGCUAACUACGUGCCAGCAGCCGCGGUAAUACGUAGGGGGCAAGCGUUACCCGGAUUUACUGGGUGUAACGGGAGCGUAGCCGGCAGAGCAAGUCAGAUGUGAAAUGCCAGGGAUUAACCCUGGAACUGCUUUGGAAACUGUUAUGCUAGAGUGUAGGAGAGGUAAGUGGAAUUCUUAGUGUAGGGGUGAAAUACGUAGAGAUUAGGAGGAACAC